UCAAGGGCGCCAACUCCUAGGCAUUUAGAGUUUAGGUUCGGCAUCGGUUGGUUGUACUUGUUCGCUUCCAAGGGGGCACCGCCGAGACGUUUGUGGCAGCCUGGUGGCUUAGGCCCAGAUCGUUAAAUACUCCGAAUCCGUAUCUGCAUCCUCUCCAUACACUCGACGAUGAUCCCUCAAAGGACUCUCAGAUUUCUUGUCUGGAGAUGAUUAACAUAAAUGGAUCUACUUUCGAUAUCUAUGGAUCUUACAUUGGUGUUUUGCGCUAGGUUUGAUUUUCACUUAUCUGAAUGUUACAAUGUCCACAGUCAGCUGAAUGCUAUAAACAGAAAGCGUAUUGGAAGAUAUAAUUAUAUCAGAAACUUGGCACACCCUCCUUGCAAAUGUUCCCAAGUACUCAGAGGAGGAUUGGCCGUAAAGUUGUGAAACAUUGACUAUGUGGUAAGUGAUGGUCCUUCGCUUAUGGAUUUUUACUCCAGCUAUGGCAUGGCCGUUAGGAUAUUUCUGCCACUCAGUGUUGAUGUUGAUUUCUAUCCUGCUACAUGAUUACCCAUAUCUUAUAUGUUAAUGUUUGUACGAUUGAAUGCUAUGCAGAUGAUUCUUAAUCUUCAUUCUUUUUGAUUGAUGGAGUGGACUCUUUCAAGUUCCCAAAUCCUAUAAUUAGUUAGAAGUCGUAUGAGGAUAAUGAAUAUG